CCUGGCUCAGGAUGAACGCUGGCGGCGUGCUUAACACAUGCAAGUCGAACGGUGAAGCCCAGCUUGCUGGGUGGAUCAGUGGCGAACGGGUGAGUAACACGUGAGCAACCUGCCCCUGACUCUGGGAUAAGCGCUGGAAACGGCGUCUAAUACUGGAUACGAGACGUGAUCGCAUGGUCAACGUUUGGAAAGAUUUUUCGGUUGGGGAUGGGCUCGCGGCCUAUCAGCUUGUUGGUGAGGUAAUGGCUCACCAAGGCGUCGACGGGUAGCCGGCCUGAGAGGGUGACCGGCCACACUGGGACUGAGACACGGCCCAGACUCCUACGGGAGGCAGCAGUGGGGAAUAUUGCACAAUGGGCGCAAGCCUGAUGCAGCAACGCCGCGUGGGGGAUGACGGCCUUCGGGUUGUAAACCUCUUUUAGCAGGGAAGAAGCGUAAGUGACGGUACCUGCAGAAAAAGCACCGGCUAACUACGUGCCAGCAGCCGCGGUAAUACGUAGGGUGCAAGCGUUAUCCGGAAUUAUUGGGCGUAAAGAGCUCGUAGGCGGUUUGUCGCGUCUGCUGUGAAAUCUGGGGGCUCAACCCCCAGCCUGCAGUGGGUACGGGCAGACUAGAGUGCGGUAGGGGAGAUUGGAAUUCCGUGUAGCGGUGGAAUGCGCAGAUAUCAGGAGGAACACCGAUGCGAAGGCAGAUGGCCGUAACACGGGAGAAGGG
rnacentral:rRNA from 1 species